rnacentral:rRNA from 1 species
UACGAAGGGGGCUAGCGUUGUUCGGAAUUACUGGGCGUAAAAGGCGCGUAGGCGGUGUGUCAAGUCAGGCGUGAAAGCCCCGGGCUCAACCUGGGAACAGCGCUUGAGACUGGCACGCUCGAGUUCGGGAGAGGAUGGUGGAAUUCCCAGUGUAGAGGUGAAAUUCGUAGAUAUCGGGAGGAACACCAGUGGCGAAGGCGGCGACCUGGGCCAAUACUGACGCUGAGGUGCGAAAGCGUGGGGAGCAAACAGG